UCUUUGCAACGCCUCCGAAUAAUUUAUAAGAAUUUGAUUAUUUAAGUAUUGUAUGUUUUUUUUAAUUAGGGAUCAAAUGACAAAGGAUGAUAUUAUAAAGUGUAUGGAGUUGUUAAUGAUAAGGAAAAUGAAUCUUUUACCAAUGCUGCUAAUCGGUAUGAUGUUGUCUAUUCAAGUCUUGCUGCUAGGCUAUGGUUCUAGAAGCAUGCAUGGAGGUUUUAAUGGUGUUAGAGGAGCAUUUACACAUUUUUAACAGAUGGAAGUUGAACAUCAAGCUUUGAUCUAUAAACAGGAUACAACCAAGGUUUCUAUCAUGGAGGAGGACAUGUUGCUUCCAACUGUUGAGGCUUUACAGUCGAGUGUAUGUUGUCAUUCCAUGUUUCAUCCAAUUUGUAAUUAUUUUGAAUUGUUUCUUAAUUGUGUGAAAUAUUGAAUAACGUAUUUGAUGUUAUUCCUCAAAUUGGCAAUAGAUGCAAUUAGACUUUAUCUUUCAUUAGGACUUAUGUUUUGGUAUCUGCUACAAUUGCAAUUGAUUUGGUUGUUUGUGACCUAUGUCUUGGUAAAACAGUA